CUAAAUUUUAAGUGAUAUAUUGCAAUGCACUGGACGUUAUACAGGUCACUAUGACGGUGACAGACAAAUUAUAUGUGUCAUAAAAUUACAGCUUGUACAAGCUUCUUAUUUGAGGACACACCCGAAGAUGACACGGGCCCUCCACACGUAUGUCCAUGGCUAAAGGGUGACGCAUGCCCUUGUUCAGGAUCCUAUCAACUGUGCCAACACUGUAGGAAGUACAGUUACGCUUGAUAAGAUUUUAUACAAGACGCCCGCCAUUGUGACGAAUUUUGUUCAACAACGCCACCACUUUAUUGAAACAUCAUGACAGAAACUUUACGGGAGAAAUAGACUGAGAUACGUUGAUAGUGUUUGUUUGCGCAGUGAUUUUUCAUAUAUAAUCAUUUUUCAUUUAUAAAUAUUCGUUUCUUGUAAAUAAAUUUGUAUAUAUUUUC